UUCGGAGGAUCCGAGCGUUAUCCGGAUUUAUUGGGUUUAAAGGGUGCGCAGGCGGGAGAUUAAGUCGGCGGUGAAAUUUUGCAGCUCAACUGUAAAAGUGCCUUCGAAACUGGUUUCCUUGAGUGUGGAUGAAGUAGGCGGAAUUUGUGGUGUAGCGGUGAAAUGCAUAGAUAUCACGAGGAACUCCGAUUGCGCAGGCACCUUACUAAGCCAUAACUGACGCUCAGGCACGAAAGCGUGGGUAUCAAACAGGAUUAGAUACCCUGGUAGUCCACGCUGUAAACGAUGAUUACUGGUUGUUUGCGAUACACAGCAAGUGACUGAGCGAAAGCAUUAAGUAAUCCACCUGGGGAGUACGUCGGCAACGAUGAA
rnacentral:rRNA from 1 species